CUUUCUUCGAUGGAAAUAAAAUUCACAUAAUUCCAUAAUCAAAUUCAAGUACAAACCCAAAUAAAUCAAAAAGCUAAAUCAAUUUACAAAUAAUCAGAAUCAUAAGGUGGAAGUGAAAAUUAAACAAAUUGAAUAUGCUAAAAGAAACCAAAACAAACCAAGACAACUACAACAAUGGUGACUUUAUAGCCAGCAACCUCAUUUCCCGGCUAAACCUGGUUCUUUGCAUCAUCUCCCUCGCUAAUCAAUCUUUGGAAUCCUCUGUCUCCUAAUUUCCCAGCCUAAAAUAGACAAAUUCUCCAUUAAUUGUAGUGGGUAUUUAAGAAGACUGGUGAUUUGAGAAGAUCGAUUCAAGGAGGAGAGGUAUAAGGAGUGGGUGAGGAACGGUGUCUUGAAUGCAAAGCCAAACAUGGCUGCAACUGUUUCCAAAAAUGGUGCCGACUUCCAUGGUUUUCAAGGGAUGUGAAAGGACUAAAGUAUUGUUGUUGUUGAUGGCUGAUUUAGAGGAGGCAGAGUCUUGGUCUUCAUCUUGAUUAUGAGAUUCUUGGCUGGUUGUGGGUUAGAAAGAUUAUUGCAAGUGGAGGUGUUGAGGCAUUAAACUAUAAAAAAGAAAAUCAAAAUUAACUUAGAGAUCUGGUGAAGAUAACACAUUAAUAGAAGCAAAAUCCACAAAAAAAGGAAUAAAAUAAAACCUUACAGGGACAAAUUUUGACGGGUAAGAAGGGAUGAACCAUCUUUCAAUGGGCA
rnacentral:misc_RNA from 1 species